rnacentral:rRNA from 1 species
UACGUAGGGUGCGAGCGUUGUCCGGAAUUAUUGGGCGUAAAGGGCUCGUAGGCGGUUUGUCGCGUCGGGAGUGAAAUCCACUGGCUUAACUGGUGGCUUGCUUUCGAUACGGGCAGACUGGAGGUAUGCAGGGGAGAACGGAAUUCCUGGUGUAGCGGUGAAAUGCGCAGAUAUCUGGAGGAACACCGGUGGCGAAGGCGGCAUCCUGGACCGGCAUUGACGCUGAGGCGCGAAAGCCAGGGGAGCAAACGGG